AAGGAGGUAAAAAUGACC
rnacentral:misc_RNA from 1 species